AACGAACGCUGGCGGCAGGCCUCAAACAUGCAAGUCUAGGGGGUGUAGCAAUACAUCACCGGCGGACGGGUGCGUAACACGUGGGAAUAUACCUUUUGGUUCGGAACAACGCAGGGAAACUUGCGCUAAUACCGAAUGUGCCCCUUACGGGGAAAGAUUUAUCGCCAAAGGAUUAGCCCGCGUAGGAUUAGCUAGUUGGUGAGGUAAUGGCUCACCAAGGCUCCGAUCCUUAGCUGUUCUGAGAGGAAGAUCAGCCACACUGGGACUGAGACACGGCCCAGACUCCUACGGGAGGCAGCAGUUGGGAAUCUUGGACAAUGGGGGGAAACCCUGAUCCAGCCAUGCCGCGUGAGUGAUAAAGGCCUCGGUUGUAAACGUACUUUACGUACGGGGACGGAGUAAUAGACGGUACCGUACGUAAGAAGAC
rnacentral:rRNA from 1 species